CUUGACCGAACCGAUCCACAGUGGAUUAUCAGCUUCGCGUUCCGCUCCGUAGGUCGAGAGCAACGCGUGCGCCUC
rnacentral:antisense_RNA from 2 species